rnacentral:rRNA from 1 species
GCCAGCAGCCAUAUCACUCUGCAACUCACAACUGGGAACCCACUGAAGCUAAGCAGAUGUGAGCCUGGUCAGUACCUGGAUGGGAGACCUCCUGGGAAAAACUAAGGUUGCUGGUGGAA